rfam:Brassica rapa chromosome A3, whole genome shotgun sequence.
AUCUGGCUUAGUUAGGAGGCAAACAUAAAUUCUGAUCAUUCAAUACUUUUCUGUAUUGUUUUUGGUCGUUUGAGGCUUUUUUUUUUGUUUCUUUUGAGGAGGAGCAAUUGAAUUAUCUUCAAUUGCAAGCUUCUUCUUACCAAAAAGCUUCCGACAUUA